AAAGUCGUAACAAGGUAACCGUAGGUGAACCUGCGGUUGGAUCAUUAUCACGUUAUCCACGUUAUCAACCAACGCGAACUCGGGCUAGUAAGCAAUGAACGCCUUUUUCUCGCCAACGAUUUUCGGCUUCGAUUCAUUUCGUCGCUGUCAGUCGGAAGUGAGAAAUAAAUCUUGAUUAACUAUCAACCCCCUUUUAUACUUUAUUGUACUGAACUGUUUCUUCCUCUAUUUCAUUAUGGAGAAGAAAACAAAAAUACGAAACAAAGAACAACUCUUAGCAACGGAUAUCUUGGUUCUC
rnacentral:misc_RNA from 1 species